rnacentral:tRNA from 1 species
GCUCUGGUAGUAUAGUCCGGUCAAGUAUAGCGGCCUCUCGAGUCGCGGACCCGGGUUCGAAUCCCGGCCAGAGCA